ensembl:antisense Hotairm1 Hoxa transcript antisense RNA, myeloid-specific 1
CACCGUUUCAGUGGCAUUUAAAUCCCCGGCGCUCCUCAGUGUAGGUGACGCGCGCUCGCCCCCCCAGGCAGCCCGGGCCGCGGCGGUAGCAGCGGCCGCUCCCGGAGCUGACUUGGAGCACUGGGACCAAAGGGAGUCGAGACUGCCUUCUGCGCGCGCCCGGCUUUGCGCGCCUCCGCCACCAGAUGUGGGGGGAUGGGAGGCCCCCUCCGCGGCCCCUUCCCCACCCAGCCCAGAAAGCUGAACUGGCAAGAGGACGAAUCACAUCCAGGAACUGCGCAGCCCUGGCCACAGCCCGGACACCCUGCUCAGAUCUCAGAGCCUGGGGCCUGAAAACCACCACAGUCCCCACAUAUGGAGGCUGCUGAGGGAUUAGGGGAGUAGAGGGUGAAGGGAAGGUAGAGAGCAAACCCCUGAAUAAAGUCCGAGGUUUCAUUGUAAUUCCCAAGCUUUUGCUAUUAAGAACUGGGUUCUUCCAUCAAUCACCGCCCCCCCCCCCCACGCACAUGUUGCUGCAGUUUCUCACGGUCUGUUUUUCCUGAACCCAUCCACAGCUGGGAGAUUAAUCAACCACACUGAAAAUGGGGGUGUGGGGGAGGGAAAGGAAGAGUUGGAACGUAGAUGUUUGAAACAAAUGUGUAUAAAUAAAUGAAUUUUUGAUAACUCCGUUAUUGACCUAGAAACUAGCAGCUUGGUAAGGGAACUCCAUUCCACUC